rnacentral:antisense_RNA from 1 species
AAUUAUGGUGGGCUGGUUGAGGGCGCUUCGGCGCGCCGUAUCCUUAUGAGCGGUAGUUCCAACCUUGAUCAGUCCAUCACCAGU